AAACUAGCUUGGCAGGGGAGCUAUCAGGAUCAUGAAGGUGGUUUUCUGAGGAAAGGACUUUGCCAUUGCACUCCUUAAGUGCGGAUCCCUGUGGUUUUCCCAAACCAGAAAACUAGACUACAUAAUUUGUGGUAAUGGGAAACUGUGUUGAAGCUCUUCCUU
ensembl:snRNA U1 U1 spliceosomal RNA